ACCCACCUGCUCUCUCGGGGUGUGGGUGCCCGCGGCAGCGGCCAGGCCGGAAAAGGGGUCGACAAAAAAGAAAAAAGGUGGGGGGAAAACGCCUUCUGCUGGGAACAGUGC
rnacentral:SRP_RNA from 1 species